GCUCCAAUAGCGUAUAUUAAAGUUGUUGCAGUUAAAAAGCUCGUAGUUGAAGUUCUGGUUGUAUGGGCCUCUGCACUAGAUGCGAAGGUACCAGCAAUCAUCCGCUUGCAAAUACACUCCUUCCUUAACCGGUAGGCUGUAUGAGUAAGUACUUUACCUUGAGAAAAACAGAGUGUUCCAGGCAGGUUUGUCCGGAAUGC
rnacentral:rRNA from 1 species